GGGGUGAAUGGAUUUAACAUUGCUGAAACAAUUACGACGUGUUUUCAUGUUGGAGCCAAUUUGGAGGAGGUGGAGCCAAAUGGCCAAAUAGAAGACCCCACACUGAUCAUCCCCACUGCGAGGGCACCAAUUUAACAACAAUCUACACAGAAAAAGCACCUUCAUAAGAACCAAAAAUCAGAUACACCGUGGGCCAGAGGAGAUGUUGCUAUCUUGAAGGAAAGGACACAUCACCUGCAACUGAAGAACCCUUGGUCCCUGAAUAACAAUCAGCAAU